GCAUUGGUGGUUCAGUGGUAGAAUUCUUGCUUGCCACGCAGGAGACCCAGGUCUGUUUCCCGGCCAAUGCA
rfam:Danio rerio chromosome 4, GRCz11 reference primary assembly.